UGCAACCCAUGCUGGCCUCCCUCCU
rnacentral:misc_RNA from 1 species